GGAGGAUUAGCUCAGCUGGGAGAGCACCUGCCUUACAAGCAGGGGGUCGGCGGUUCGAUCCCGUCAUCCUCCC
rnacentral:tRNA from 1 species